GAUGAACGCUGACAGAAUGCUUAACACAUGCAAGUCCACUUGAAUUUGGGUUUUUAACUUAGGUUUGGGUGGCGGACGGGUGAGUAACGCGUAAAGAACUUGCCUCACAGCUAGGGACAACAUUUGGAAACGAAUGCUAAUACCUAAUAUUAUGAUAAUAGGGCAUCCUAUAAUUAUGAAAGCUAUAAGCGCUGUGAGAGAGCUUUGCGUCCCAUUAGCUAGUUGGAGAGGUAACGGCUCACCAAGGCGAUGAUGGGUAGCCGGCCUGAGAGGGUGAUCGGCCACAAGGGGACUGAGACACGGCCCGUACGCCUACGGGAGGCAGCAGUGGGGAAUAUUGGACAAUGGACCGAGAGUCUGAUCCAGCAAUUCUGUGUGCACGAUGAAGUUUUUCGGAAUGUAAAGUGCUUUCAGUUGGGAAGAAAAAAAUGACGGUACCAACAGAAGAAGUGACGGCUAAAUACGUG
rnacentral:rRNA from 1 species